AGGAACAAGAUCAUUGGUGGGAUUGCUCGAGGCCUACAAUACCUGCACGAAGAAUCUCAAUUAAAAAUUAUACAUCGGGAUUUAAAAGCUAGCAAUAUUUUAUUAGAUGCAGAUUUGAACUCAAAGAUUUCAGACUUUGGUUUGGCUAGGCUUUUUGGUGGAGACCAAACUCAGUGCACCACGAACCAAGUCAUUGGAACAUUUGGGUAUAUGGCACCGGAGUAUGUCAUGCAUGGGCAGUUUUCUAUCAAGUCAGAUGUAUAUAGUUUUGGUAUUCUGGUUUUAGAGAUCGUGGCAGGCAGAAAGAACAGUGAUUUUUCUAAUUCUGAAUAUGUUGAAGAUACAGUGAGCUAUGAGGUCUACAAAACAAGGGAGGCAUGGCACGGUCAGAAAAUUAGUGACAGAAGAGAAAAUGGAGAGGGAGAGAGAGGGUCCAUUGGUGUCUCAAAAAGGGGAUGGGGAGAGUAAAAGGAAGAGGAGGCAACACCGGCCUCUCCAAUUCAUAGAGUAAAAGAAGGAAUUCCGGUCGAGUUUGGAAGGCAGAGCCAAGAUCGCUAGACCCUCCUCAUUUGGUGAACAAAAAUGGAAUGGAGAAAGUUGGAAAGGAAAAUAAGGAGGAAGGGAUCCUCUUUGUUUUCGAGAUGAUUACGUGGUAGCCAUCCAAGCAUGCGCCUCUCCCUACAGUGAAAGCAGGCUUUGCAUUCUUCUCGUCUUAAAUCAUCAUAUGCUAUUAUAUUAACUAGAAGUCCUAUAUAUCGACGAUGACCUCUCCCGGUUUCAGGUUUGUGUCAUUGGAUUGCCUUUAUUCUUUUUAAUUUCUUUUAUUAAUGAACUGAUAGUGUGUUUAGUAUAGAAGAAGAGGUUACAGACA